AUUGAAUUGGCCUGCUUGAUGCUGUGAAAUUGUAGUUCUGUAGUCAUGGUUGUGUCCUCUAUCUCAGGAAAAGUAGAAGUUGGGUCAGCUAACUUGUCCCCUGUGGGAUUUCCACUAGAAUAUAUGAAGGAUGUUCUUUUUUUGUUUGUUUUGUUUAACUCUGCAAAUAUAGUAGACCACAAGAAUCCAUGGAAAUCAGUGGUCCUUCAGAGAGAGCUAACCCAGAGAACUUGAAGAAGGCUUGACACGUGCAGCCAUUUGAGUACCAGUGCCAAGAGGAAGUGACAAAGCAGCUCCUAGGGCAAUAUGGAUCUCCAGCUGAUCAGCUAAGAUCUCCUUCUUCAGUGAUGCUCCCGUUCUCAUUUUCUUCAAACUCAGGCUGUGUGGACAAGGAAGUUCGGGUGACAAAUUACAAAAACAAAAAAAAACUUGAGAAGUGCCAUCUGCUGAAGAUCAUGCUGCAAGACAAGCAGUGCCAAAAAGAGAACUCAGCCUUGAGCCAGUGCUCCCGUCAGACUUACAGUUGCAUCCUGCAUGAUUCUGGUUACUGAAUUGGUCCUGUUCAACUUAAAGCUGCUGUCAGCAAGACGGAGUGUCAGAAAAAUAUAACUUCUUUCAUAAAAUUCUUCAUGUGUAUUUUGGAAAAAGUUUAAUUAGCUGUCAAAUUUUCCUUGUGCAUUUUCAUUUCCAAGUUCCACAUCUAAGCAGUGAGUGGUGGCUCACAGCUUUCUGGUUUAUAGAAAGCGUACUGUUGUACAAAGUUCACCUGGUUUUAUUCUAGACUGAUCUCCAAAAGAGGACUUCCUGUACUGUCUAUAUCUGCUUCCUACAAUUACUGUUUUACUGAAAUCAGUUUUAAAGCAGUUGUCUGAUUCCAUCAUCAUUUGACAGAAAUGAAAAAAAAAAAAUCAUUUCUAUAUGAAAUAAAAUCAUUUCUAUAGAACAAGUGAAAAUACGGAGGAGACCCUGCUAGCAAUCUGGCUGCAGGAUAAAGCUUUGCUUUUCCUGCCACCCAUAGAGCUACUCCCCUGUCCUCACCCUCCUCCUGUUAGUUUGUCCCUUCUGUUAAUCCCCUUUCAAUGUCUUGCUAUUGAAAAAGGAAGUCUAUUAUAUUUUUCUCAUGAAUGGUCACUGUUACCGCUAAAAAUCAGCGUUGGAUAUAAGUAGAGCUGCAGAGGGCACACAAUUUUUUCUCAGAAUCUGACUUUUUUAUGAAAUUGUUUUCAGCUGCUAUGAACUUAAACAUUUUUGGCUAUUUGUUUUUUAAACCUGCUUUAUUCCUUUUUCCACAUGCUUAUUUUCUAUUGGAGAAAAAGAUUAAAUAAAUAGAAGGGAUAAAAAGAAGCAGAAAGAAAAACUAAAAUUAAUGUCUUACUUUCUGUAGUUUUCAUUGGAAUGUUCCCAAAGAAAAUAAAUGUUCCAGUCAUACCAUGGUCUGUCUCCUCUCAGGGUUCAACCCAUUUAAUCCUAUGAGGCCUGCUGGCCAAUGUAACUUCUUCAUGAUUACUAUUAGAAAAGGUUACAAUUUUUAUUUUUCCCCUGAGACAUAAAUUGGCAUACUUUCCAGUAGCCUCUCUUGACUACAUUGAUUUGCUCUUCUAAUUCAAGAACAGUUUUUGGUUAAAAUAUCUGUUUUGUUUCAAAUAGAAUAUGUGGUAAAAGUCAC
rnacentral:lncRNA from 7 species